UCCUGGCAUAGAUAUUUGAAAUUAAUAUUAAAGAUGGAGUUCACUGCUUCACGAUUUGAUAAAAGGUCAUUGGGGUUCAUAUCUGGCAUGACAAGAGGUAAAAAUGUGGAUGCAGUUCUGAACCCGUUGAUAUUGUUCGAAGGAUCAAAGUACUCAAAAGAACAGAGAUUAAUCUGAUGGCUAAAACUCUUCUGCCCAUCCAAGUGUGUUAAUAGUGUUAUGAUCAUAUGCUGCACUUUCUGAAAGACUGGUGCACUUCCUCUAACAAUGGGGUAGAAUGCAUUUCAAUUCAUCUCGAAAUUCUGCAAUAGAUGCAAGAAGAUUGCUACAUCUCUGAAUGGAGCAUAAAGGAGAAAGAGAAAGUUUAUCAGUUUAUCACCAUGUAGGUGUGUGAAGUUUGCUGAGAUCGUAGUGAAAGAGGAAAAGCCGACUCUGUAAACUAGGCUGUUUGAUGAGAUUUCACCAAGACAUGUUUUACAUCUGCAUCAACUGUAAAAUCUCCAAAUCGUAUGCAAAACUUUUAUUACUAUUUUCUUUAAUGUUUUGGCCUUUUGAGUAAAUCUCCAAGUUGUUAUUACUAACUUGUACUUAACACACAAUACAACAUAAAAUGAUACAAACACAUGGAUUGUCGCCUCUAA